rnacentral:rRNA from 1 species
UAGGGAAUAUUGGGCAAUGGAGGGAACUCUGACCCAGCCAUGCCGCGUGCAGGAUGAAGGCGUUAUGCGUUGUAAACUGCUUUUAUAUAGGAAGAAAUAGUCCUUGCGAGGAAAGUUGACGGUACUAUAUGAAUAAGCACCGGCUAACUCCGUGCCAGCAGCCGCGGUAAUACGGAGGGUGCAAGCGUUGUCCGGAUUUAUUGGGUUUAAAGGGUGCGUAGGCGGUUUAUUAAGUCAGUGGUGAAAGACGGUCGCUCAACGAUUGCAGUGCCAUUGAUACUGGUAGACUUGAGUAUGAUUGAGGUAGCUGGAAUGGAUAGUGUAGCGGUGAAAUGCAUAGAUAUUAUCCAGAACACCAAUUGCGUAGGCAAGUUACUAAGUCAUAACUGACGCUGAGGCACGAAAGUGUGGGUAUCAAACAGGAUUAGAUACCCAAGUAGUCCCUGAGCGGGCUGGCAAGGCGCAU